AACGUCCUACGGGGGGCAGCAGUGAGGAAUAUUGGUCAAUGGGCUUACGCCUGAACCAGCCAAGUCGCGUGAGGGAAGACUGCCCUAUGGGUUGUAAACCUCUUUUGUCAGGGAGCAAUUGGCGCUACGUGUAGCGUUAUCGAGAGUACCUGAAGAAAAAGCAUCGGCUAACUCCGUGCCAGCAGCCGCGGUAAUACGGAGGAUGCGAGCGUUAUCCGGAUUUAUUGGGUUUAAAGGGUGCGUAGGCGGCCUGCUAAGUCUGGAGUGAAAGGUACCGGCUCAACCGGUACAGGCUCUGUAAACUG
rnacentral:rRNA from 1 species